UACAGAGGUCUCAAGCGUUGUUCGGAUUCAUUGGGCGUAAAGGGUGUGUAGGUGGCGCCGUAAGUCGGGUGUGAAAUUUCGGAGCUUAACUCCGAAACUGCAUUCGAUACUGCGGUGCUUGAGGACUGGAGAGGAGACUGGAAUUCAUGGUGUAGCAGUGAAAUGCGUAGAGAUCAUGAGGAAGACCAGUGGCGAAGGCGGGUCUCUGGGACGGUACUGACGCUGAGACGCGAAAGCGUGGGGAGCGAACAGG
rnacentral:rRNA from 1 species